rnacentral:pre_miRNA from 12 species
AGUAUUGUGCGAUUAAUUUUGCGGGGCAUUAACUAAAGCAUCAGCAGCGGCAUUGACUGUAGUUAAUGAAUCCUGGCGAGUGAAGUAACUCUGUUU